GCUUCGUGAAACGUGCGUUCAAUCCUGCCUUGGUUAAGAUUGCUAUGUGGUUUUCUCAAGACUGCUUAGACUGUGGUUUUGGAAUAAAGCGGCUGCCUACAAUGCGGUACAGAUGAAAAA